GCAUGACAGGGCCAAGUCCUAGCGGUCUGGUUGAGCAGGGAGAGAGAAGCGUUCCUAUUCCUGGUGCGCACCACAGAAAAGCGCCCUCUUUCCACCUCCUGGUGUGCCUCCGUAUUGUUAGGGAGGAAGAGAAGGAACGCGGGGCGCGAAAUAGAAAGUGGGGCGGGGCUUCGGAGAGCAACGGUUUAAAAGUGUGCGUCAGCAUUUAGGCGCCAAAUGAUUUGUGUUUCUAUGUACUCAACCCUACUGCUGUUGGAGGUGAUUAAUAUUGUUCAUCUACUUUCUGCAGAAGAAGCUGAGUCUUGAAAAAGAAGAAAUAAUGUGUCCAAGACAUUGGUUAUUUACAUCUAUUGUAUCUAUUUGGGGCAAAUCACAUAUAAUGAUGGCUACUGUGAAUUUCUGCCCAAUACCCUUGUUCAGUGAUAUCAAGUUGGUAGCUUGAAAUCAGCUGUGAUGUAGAGUAUUUACGCAUGGAAAUCAGCAAACCCUACAAAUAAGGCAUUUUUUUUUGGAGAGCUGGUUGUUAAACAUUUAUCAGUAAACUAGUAGAUCAUUGUUCAUAGUAUUUUUAGGAUUACUCAUCCUGAAAAAAAUGUGAAUUAUAUGUUAUUUAAUGUGUAGUAUGUAUUAAAAUGUAUGUAUGUCAAAUAUGUAAAUAUAAAAUCAAAAUAGCAUAUUUGGCCCUAAGUUCUCAAAACAUGUUAGCAGUUAUUAUUUCAGAGUUGUAUUUAUUUCAUUUUUGCAUCUGUAUUCUUUCCUCCCUUUCUCCUUCAGUUCUGUUUUCUUUCCUCUUCACUCUUUCCCUUCCCCAGUGUCCAAACCUCAAGCAGGGGGGCAUGGGGAGAUAAGAACUGGAAAUCAUUCCAGUUCCCGGUUUCCUCCUAACCUCCAGUGACUUGACCUUGGCCCCCAUCUCCGCCAGAUCAGACUGCACGUAUCUGAUUUAGCCGUUGGGGCCCCGGGCAUCAAGCAGUGAGCCCGCCAAGUAGCAGCCCUCAGGAAUCCCCCCUCUGUGGAGCCACUUGAGGGAAGGCAAGGGAGAGAGUUGCAGAAGCUCUGCAGGACUCACCUUGGCAGACCUCCUCCUGCUCAUCCUAGCUUUCUUAUGACCCAUUUAGUUCUAGAAAGUCAAAGCUGUUUUAGAAACUGCUGUUUUUCAAAAAGUAAUGUCCUCCCCAGACCACUCCUGAGAUCCACUAGAAAGGUUUUAGAAAAUGUUCUUGAGAGUAUAUUUGAUUAAAUGACUUUAAGCAGCUGUAAACAGCAGUUGACUAUUCUGUGAAAAAGUGUGCAAAUAUAAUGACUUACUAUGAUUUUCAUUUGCCCCCAGUUCUGGAAGUUCUUCAUCUUUGCUCUUCUCUAUUUUAUAUCCCUCAUCAAGAGCUUUUUUGUGUAGUGGCUGUUGUCAAACUGGCUCUGGUUUUGAGAAUCAGAUGCCCAUCCUGUUUGUCAAUUUAAUGGCCUGCUUCGAUUCAUUUUAUGAUUAGAAAUCCCUCUGCCCCAUGGCCUAAUUCAGUGUUCAUUAACUUACCUUUUAAUGAAGAACUUUGAGAUUUAGUUUUAUCAUGUCUUGGCUGUGCUCUAUUUUAAAUUUUAGGUUACCAUUUUGGCCUAAUUCAAACAAACUAACAGUAACACCUGAAUCUUGAGUUGCAGCUGAGCAUACAAAAAUACCAAUUUGCUAUG